UCGAACGGAAAGGCCCAGCUUGCUGGGUACUCGAGUGGCGAACGGGUGAGUAACACGUGGGUGAUCUGCCCUGCACUCUGGGAUAAGCCUGGGAAACUGGGUCUAAUACCGGAUAUGACCAACUGUCGCAUGGUGGUUGGUGGAAAGCUUUUGCGGUGUGGGAUGGGCCCGCGGCCUAUCAGCUUGUUGGUGGGGUAAUGGCCUACCAAGGCGACGACGGGUAGCCGACCUGAGAGGGUGAUCGGCCACACUGGGACUGAGACACGGCCCAGACUCCUACGGGAGGCAGCAGUGGGGAAUAUUGCACAAUGGGCGCAAGCCUGAUGCAGCGACGCCGCGUGAGGGAUGACGGCCUUCGGGUUGUAAACCUCUUUCACCAGGGACGAAGCGGAAGUGACGGUACCUGGAGAAGAAGCACCGGCCAACUACGUGCCAGCAGCCGCGGUAAUACGUAGGGUGCGAGCGUUGUCCGGAAUUACUGGGCGUAAAGAGCUCGUAGGCGGUUUGUCGCGUCGUCUGUGAAAUUCUGCAACUCAAUUGCAGGCGUGCAGGCGAUACGGGCAGACUUGAGUACUACAGGGGAGACUGGAAUUCCUGGUGUAGCGGUGAAAUGCGCAGAUAUCAGGAGGAACACCGGUGGCGAAGGCGGGUCUCUGGGUAGUAACUGACGCUGAGGAGCGAAAGCGUGGGUAGCGAACAGGAUUAGAUACCCUGGUAGUCCACGCCGUAAACGGUGGGUACUAGGUGUGGGUUCCUUUUCACGGGAUCCGUGCCGUAGCUAACGCAUUAAGUACCCCGCCUGGGGAGUACGGCCGCAA
rnacentral:rRNA from 1 species